AAAAAGACAAACCCUGGUUUCCGUGUCCAACGUUUGACCGUCCUUCUUAUUUAAAAAAAUUAUGAAAAAAUUAAAAAGAUAAAUCACGCAUAAAGUAUUAAUCAUGUUUUAUCAUCUAACAACAAUGGAAAUACUAAUUAUAAAAAAAAUCAUAUAAGACGGACAGUCAAACGUUGGCACGGAAACCCAGGAUUUGCCUUUUU
rnacentral:pre_miRNA from 1 species